rnacentral:rRNA from 2 species
UGGUCAUGCCACUGGUAUGUACUGGUCUCACUGAUUCCUCCUUCCUGAUGAGCCGUAAUGCCAUUAAUUUGGUGUUGCGAGGAAUCUGGACUGUUACUUUGAAAAAAUUAGAGUGUUUAAAGCAGGCUAACGCUUGAAUACAUUAGCAUGGAAUAAUGAAAUAGGACGUUCGAUCUUAUUUUGUUGGUUUCUAAGAUUGACGUAAUGAUUAAUAGGGAUAGUUGGGGGCAUUAGUAUUCAAUUGUCAGAGGUGAAAUUCUUGGAUUUAUUGAAGACUAACUACUGCGAAAGCAUUUGCCAAGGAUGUUUUCAUUAAUCAAGAACGAAAGUUAGGGGAUCGAAGACGAUCAGAUACCGUCGUAGUCUUAACCAUAAACUAUGUCGACUAGGGAUCGGAUGAUGUUAAUUUUUUAAUGACUCGUUCGGCGCCUUACGGGAAAC